GAUGAACGCUAGCGGCAGGCUUAACACAUGCAAGUCGAGGGGCAUCACGGGUAGCAAUACCUGGUGGCGACCGGCGCAAGGGUGCGUAACGCGUGAGCAACAUGCCCUAUACAGGGGGAUAAUCCAGGGAAACUUGGUCUAAUAUCCCAUAGCAUUUAGAGGUGGCAUCACCAUUAAAUUAAAGCUUCGGUGGUAUAGGAUUGGCUCGCGUGACAUUAGCUAGAUGGUGGGGUAACGGCUCACCAUGGCUAUGAUGUCUAGGGGUUCUGAGAGGAAGACCCCCCACACUGGGACUGAGACACGGCCCAGACUCCUACGGGAGGCAGCAGUGAGGAAUAUUGGACAAUGGAUGGAAAUCUGAUCCAGCCAUGCCGCGUGCAGGAAGACGGCCCUAUGGGUUGUAAACUGCUUUUCCCCGGGGCGAAUAACCCCCUCGCGAGGGGGAUGGCCGGUACCGGGGGAAUAAGGAUCGGCUAACGUCCGUGCCAGCAGCCGCGGUAAAC
rnacentral:rRNA from 1 species